rnacentral:rRNA from 1 species
GGGGGAAUAUUGCACAAUGGGCGCAAGCCUGAUGCAGCAACGCCGCGUGAAGGAAGACGGUUUUCGGAUUGUAAACUUCUGUUCUUAGUGAAGAAGAAUGACGGUAGCUAAGGAGCAAGCCACGCUAACUACGUGCCAGCAGCCGCGGUAAUACGUAGGUGGCAAGCGUUGUCCGGAAUUACUGGGUGUAAAGGGAGCGCAGGCGGGGAACAGUCAGUUGUGAAAUCCAUGGGCUUAAGCCCCGUGAACUGCAGUUGAAACUGUUCUUCUUGAGUGAAGUAGAGGUUGGCGGAAUUCCGAGUGUAGCGGUGAAAUGCGUAGAUAUUCGGAGGAACACCGUGGCGAAGGCGGCCAACUGGGCUUUUACUGACGCUGAGGCUCGAAAGUGUGGGGAGCAAACAGGAUUAGAUACCC